rnacentral:lncRNA from 1 species
AAGUUGCUUUGCUUGGGAAAAGGCUUUGGAUCCAGAAUAAUCAUAUUAUGGGGAAACUUCAAAGGUAUCAAGUUUUCAUCUUGUCUUGUGUAUGUUUAGAUAUCUUCAUAGCUAGUUUGUUGUGCUUUUUGUCCCUUUUUGGGUUAAUGGAUGAGCUAGGUCAUCUAAGGUCUUGUUCUUUCAGAUCUGAGUUUGUUUUCGUAUCCUUGAGUAUAAAGGUGCAAGCUUUAUGAGAGUUUUGGUGUCAUGCCUGCAUUAAGUCAAUUAUUAAGUCUUUUUUAAUCUUAAGAGCUUCAUUAAAUGUGGUUUUCCAGCUCAAGGAAUUCAGAUCUAUGUUUUGGGGCUAUAUCUGUAUGGAUUAACUGCUUGUUGGUUAAGAUCUUGAAUCAUUAAGCUUUAUGGAUUUGGUUUGAACCUUUUUGGAUAGUACCAAUGGAUAAAGUUGGAAAAUUGAGCCUUCUGGACCAUGUUAUGGACUAGAUCUGAGCUUUGGAGCUAUUGGAAUCGGAGAAAAUAACUUAUUGUAGUAUGUUCUUGAAGGCACAAAUGUCGGCUCGUUGUUGAAGGCACGAGGAUUCUUGUGGGCCAGCAGCCAGAGAUUCUUUUUGUGAGAUUCAGCAGUACGAGGUGAGUCUCCUCAAUAUGUUUAGCAGGUCGAAGGCACAAAUGUCAGCUCAUUGUUUAUUAUGUUAGGAUGAUAGAUUUUUGUGUGACUCUUGCAUGUGUAUGUAUUGGUAUGUAUGCCGAGCGAGGCUCGAUGUCGGGCAGAACCUGACGGUUGUAUUGUAUGUUGUUAUCUUUGUGAUUAUUACAUGUGUUGGUAGGAUUAUGUGUUUGUAUGUUGGGUGGGGCCCGUUAUGUGAGUGUGGGCGGGGCCCGUAUCUCAGUGGGUGGGGCCUGAUAUGUAAGUGUGGGCGGGGUUUGUAUCUCAGUGGGCAGGGCCCGAUAUGCGAGUGUGGGCGGCGCCUGAUAUGCGACUGUGGGCGGGGCCCGUUUUAUGAAUAGUUAUGUAUGGUAUGAGGUAUCUUGGGGAACUCACUAAGCUUUGUGCUUACGGUUUUCAGUUUUUGUUUCAGGUACUUCGGUUUUCAAGUGGAAGAGCUCGGGAUGAUUGUAGAUCACACACCACAUGUUUUCGCAUUCUAUGAAUUACUCUAAUUUGAUGAUGUUUUGCUGAAUCUUGAUUACCUUGGUUUUAGGGAAUGUUAUGUAUUAAUAAUUUAUUAAUCUAUAAACAAAAAUUUUAUGUUACUACUUUUGGGAUGUUUCAAGUUGGUAUUAGAGCCUUGGUUUGAGGGAUUUGGACAUACUCUCAGAUGUGUAUGAACUCAACCUGAGGAUUUGGUGAAGUUUAAAAAAAAGGAAUGAAAAAAAUGAUUUAAAAAUAGAAAAGCAAGCUUCUAAUACAAGAAAUAGUAUGGUGCAUGCAAUCGACCGAGCUCAAGUAUUUUUCUCCUAAAAUACCCAUACAUGUUAUCUGGUAUGAUUUGAUUUAUGAAUCUGUGAAUCGCAUGCUAGUUAGGGCUAAGGAUCUGCUUAGUUUUUGCAUGAUAAAAUGCUAGGAGAGAUGCCUUGUAUGACUAUUGUAUGUGCUUGUAGACUUUCAUGCUAGAUCUUAUUAGCCAGUGAUAGAUUGGCCUGAUAUAUGAUGCCUGGUAGCCUAGGGAGCAUGGGAUAUUGGAUUAGGUGUGAUUGUAUGUGUAAGGCAAUCAGUAAUGGGAGUGGGAGCUCCUAGUAUGAGUUUUAGUAUGUGGGAUUGGAUGAUCGUGAUUAUUCUAUGGAUUGGAAUGUUACUGCACGAAUUCUGUUUGAUUUGUUCUUUAUGGAACUCAUAAGUGAUGUGAGUUAGCUGUUAAGUGAAUAUGUCAAGUCACAUGUGGCAAAGGUUGGAUAAUCUCAUAAUGAUAGAUUUUACCAUGUUGUGUAGCUCUCGUCUGAGUCUAACCGUUGUAGGGAUGACUCUGUUACUCGAAAGAUUAUCUAAGCUUUGGUGCAUGUGACUGUGUUCAUGAGGUAGCUAACUGACAUUAUGAGGAGUUCUUCAGCAGCUAAUGGCAGGGUGAGGUUGGGAACCUAAGAAAACCUAGAAGGGGCUUCGCUGGGUUUAGUUGCGUUGUUUAGCGAUCAUGUGGAGUAUCAGUUUGAGAAUGUGACUUAAGGGAUUCUGGAGGAUUCUUGAGGAAAGUAUGGAUAGGUAUGGAAGGUAGUAUUGGGCCCGUACUACUGAAAGCACAGGAUCCAUACUCGAAUCGGGGAGACUCUUGGAAAAUCUAGGAAGCCUAUGGGAUCAGGAUUCUUGGGCAUAUUUGAAUCUUUUGCAUGUUGUUUUUGGUAUGGUAUUGACCACUUAGGAAUGGGGUUCGGGUUCUGGUUCUGGCUCAGGAGCAGGUACUGAGCCGAUCGAUGCGUGGACGUCGGAGUUCGUCACAUCAAAGAUUACUCAGGGUAUUUUGGAAUGGACCUCAGUGAUCUUUGGUUCAUUCAAGGAAGGAAGGAAGGGAUUUUGGAACUCUUGGAUGGUCGUCCUGGGGCCUUUCAGGCCAAGUUUGUAGCACCAUAGUUGGGGGAUCAUAUGGAGCCCAAAGCUUGCAGAUCCUUAGAAUCCUUCAAGAAUGAGGAUCCUAUUGUUAAGUUUAUGUCUUUUGGGAUCGGAGGGGAGUUUUGCACCAUGUCCUCAGGAUGGUCGGGGUAAUUUAGGAGGAGGAAGUCAGAAUUCCAUUAAAUGCUUUUGCGGGUAUGAUAUCUUCCAUUUUCUUCUAGGUUGUUAUCAAGGAUUUGUAUUGCGUUGGGAUUUUGCUUGGGUUUGGGGAAGUUAUAUCUCGGGUUGGUUCUUUGAUAUUUUCUAGGUUAUUAAGGAUUGUAAUAUGUCGAUCUGCAUGUCGAGAGUCUUCAAUGAAUCUUUAGAAGGUAGUAUCUUGUUGAGCGGGUUUUCGUGUGUUCAAUUGUUGAUCCGGGUCUUUGUCAGGAUCAAUCUAGAGGUAUUGUUUGGAAGAUCUUUGGUCAGGGUUAACAGGUUAGUUCGCGAGUGAAGUCAGGGUUUGGUGGUUUAUCAUCUAUUAUGGUAUGAUCGACGGUUACCUAUGGAAGAACUUUUGGGUUCCAACUUCCAACACUACCGUUGCUUGGAGAGUAGCGGUAGCAAAAAGAUGGUGGUGACGGUUACAUGAGUUGUUUGGUCAUUGGAAAUGUCAAGGGAUUUUUAUUUUCGCGUAGGUUAUAGAUGGUUAGAGAUCAGUGAUUCCUUGCGAAUGGAAGUUGAGGUGAAGAUUCGUCAGUCAUGGUAAGGGUUAUGGAUUUUAGUCGCCAGCAUAAGAAUUCAAGGAAUUGGUUUGGUAUGAUGGGAGGUGAUUUGGAUUAUCAGACUGGUUAAAAUUUCAGGAGUAUUCUUUAGCACUUCAGGAUUUGGUCGAUCACUGAAUUUGGCUAAAUGGAACGCUAGUAUUGAUUAAUACAUAUCAUAGGGGGUUCAUGCUUUAUAUGGUUUAAUGGGAUGGGAAUCCAUCGGACUUAUGGGAUGAAAGAGCUUCGCCAAAUCCAAGUGGUGGAGAAUCAAUCAGAAUUUUUGGGAGUUAGAUUCAGUGUGGAACUAGGGCAAGUUUCACAUCCUGGCCAGGAGGAGAGACGACCCAAGUGUUGGUUUAGAUUGAGGUUGUGUAAGUGGGAGUUCAGGAAACUUCCAACCAUUGGUCGGUGUCUCCUUUAUUAUGCAUAGCAAGAUUGUAGAUGAGUCUAGGCUGAGGGCUUUGGAAUUCGAAGUAUGACCCGAACACAUGAUUGGAUGUAGUCAGAUGUAGGUUGCUACUCAAGAUUUGUGGGGUUGUGAUGGUUAAGGUGUGGUAAGGCCAUGGAUAGUAACCAUGGUUGGUUAGAAGUGUUGUAAGACUGCGAUGGGAUCAUAACAUUCACCAGUUCGAUGUAGACUAUCAUUAGAGCUGGUCAUGAGCGUAAAAGGGGAAUCAUUUUGUGCCUUGGGCAUGCCGAUCAGGAUUGUCAAGGAGUAUUUCUCUGUUUUAGGUUGAGGAGCAUUGGGGUCUGGGGCAGAUUCGGGCUUGUGUAGCUCUAGAUGGGUGAGAUUCGUGGGUGAGGCCGCUUCAUGGUAUAGUUUGGGUGGGACCCGUGGACGAGGCCCGUGUUAUUAUGGCAAUGUAGGUGGGAAGUGGUAGAGACCGUUGGGUUAAGGUAUUGGAUCUUGGGUUUUAGGAUUGAGGGUUUGGUUAGUAAGUGGUGUAGAGGGAUGUUUGGACUGGGUAGCCUUGUUAUUUGGACUCUUAAGAACCAGGUGGAUGGGCAGAUACGAGACUAGCAGUCUUAGAGAUGUUGGGUUAUAAGUUGUGAGGGGUUGCUAUGAAUCAGAAAGUUUUAGGUGAAAUGCAAGUGUAAAUCCUUUGAUGUCGGGUUAUAAGUUGGGUACCGAGAUGGUUCUUGGUGGGAACUUGCAUGUGUUUAUGUGCAAGGCCUUCUCUUCUGUAGGAUAUGAGUUAAGGAAUAUGAAUGGAUGAGUUCAGGGUUAAGGGAUGGUUUUAAUUUUGUUGGAAGUUUAGGCUCUUGUGUUUUGGGUUAGUUAUAUUUGUGUGGGGGUUAGGCAAGUAUGGGGUUUUAGAUUUCAGAUGUAUUUCAUUAUAUUAUUGGUCAUGGAUUUCUUCAAAUGGAUUAGAAUAGGGUGGGUCGAUUCAUAAGGUUGUGGGAAGACCAUGUAACCAAGAAUUGGUAGGUCGUUGGAGGCCCGUUAUGAUAUAAGACUACAAUUGGUCUAGUAGCAUUCACUUUUAAAAUUAGACUUGGUGGCGUCAUGUUUGUCGGGUUGUUAUGAUCGGUCGGGGCCAUAAGUGGCAAGAUAGCUUGGGAAAUUAUUGCCAUAUGAGGCUUUCAUUCAGAAGUCGCGUGGGGCAACUGUGUGUUUCCUUUGACUCAGCAACCGAGCAGGAAACUGGUGUUUUAGUUAGUGGCAAACAAGUUGGGACUAGGGAGGUCUCGACUGCUUUUGGAAAGUAGCUAGGGGGCAUCGAGAUAAGUUAAGGCGAGAUUGGUGAUUUGGGACACGUGUGUCGAGUCUCUUGGUAUUCGGAAAAUAUGGUAAGACAUUUAUAGCUUGGAUUGGAUAAUCUAUAGGUAAAUGAUUUGACCUUGUUGUGCAGCUCUCAUCCGAGUCUAACCGUUGCAGGGAUGAGUCCUCUACUCGAAGGAUUAUUUGAGUCCUUUGUCAAGUAUAAGUGUUAUGCAACAAUAAUGUUCAGGGAUUCCGUUUCCAUUAGAAGCAUCAAGUCAAUCAAGGGUUGGAAGCAUUCUGAUUAAGUAUGGACUCCAAUGAGAAUUUGGCCUGGUAGUGGUUCAGUAUGGGCGGUCUGUCGGGGAGUCAGACCAAUUUGAGAUUUCAGGUUUUAGGUAAAGUAGGGUUGGUUUUCUGCAUGGGAUUAUGGAUUUGUCAUCUUCGAAUUUGGAGAGUCUGCUAAGGUUGGGUUCGGUAGCCUUGGGAAGGCCGUUGUAUGCUCGAGGUUGUGGUUGCGUUCUUCAGGCAUCCUGGCAUGCAUGGGAUGGUAAGGAAUGAUUUCGAGGACGAAAUCUAAUUUAAGUAAGGGAGAGUUGUAACACCCAGAAUCUUGAGGAAUAAUUGUUGACAAUAAAUCCCAUUAUAGGGUUGGACAUGACGUGUUGGAGGAACCAACACGACGUGUCUAGAUUUGAGGAAUCAUGACUUUCAUUAAGGCCAACAUGACAUGUUUAUGCCAUUACACGGCGUGUUGGCGGUUGGUGGAGAAAACCCUAAUUUUUAGGGUGUUGCACCCUAUAUAAAACCUUAAGUCCUCAUAGUUGGCCUCCUUACCAGCCUCUAUUGCCACUAAAACCCUAAAAUCAAUCUUUAAGUCUCUUUGUGGUGUUCUUGAGCUAGUAAGAAGUUAUUGGUGCUCAUUUAUGGUCUUUGUGAAGGAAUAAGAGAUCUUGAAGUUGCUUUGCUUGGGGAAAAGGCUUUGGAUCCAGAAUCAUCAUAUUGUGGGGAAACUUUCUGAGGUAUCAAGUUUGCAUAUUGUCUUGUAUAUGUUUAGAUCUCUUCAUAGCUAGUUUUGUGUGCUUUUGGUCCCUUUUGUGUUAAUGGAUGAGCUAGGUCGUCUAAGGGCUUGUUCUUUCAGAUCUGAGUAUGUUUUGGUAUCCUUGAGCAUAAAGGUGCAAGCUUUAUGAGAGUUUUGGUGUCAUGCAUGCAUUAAGUCAAUUAUUAAGUCAUUUUUAUGCUUAAGAUCUUCAUUUAGACAUGCAUGAACGUAAACUUGGAAACUUUACAUGGUUUUCCAGCUCAAGGAAGUGAGAUCUAUGUUUUGGGUUUAUAUCAUUAUAGAUUAAGUGCUUGUUCGUUAUGCUCUUGCAUCAUUAAGCAUUAUGGAUUUAGUUUGAACCUUUUUGGGUAGUCCCAAUGGAUCAAGUUGGAAACUUUAUCCUUCUAGACCAUGUUAUGGACUAGAUCUGAGCUUUGGAGCUCUUGGAAUCGAAGAAAAACAACUUAUUGUAGUAGGCUGGUGAAUCUCAGGCAGACACGACGUGUCCAAGGGGGCAACACAGCAUGUUUGGGCAACAUGGACUGUGGACUUUAACUUUGACCAGAAGUUUGAUCAGGGUUGACCUUGGGAUGUUUUGGACCAUGUUUGUGCCUUUUGGAUUGUUGAAUUGGGCCUUGGCUUUGGGGCCAAGUUAUAAAGAGGGUAAAAAGGUCUUUUACCCUAGUUUGGACACUUAGUGUGAGUCAGAUCCGAUUAUUUAUGGAUGAUUAGCUUGUGAUAGAUAACACAUUGAUUCUUACGGGCCAGCAGCCAGACAUUCUUUCUGUGAAAUUCGGCAGUGCGAGGUGAGUCUCCUUACUAUGCUUAGCGGGUCGAAGGCACAAAUGUUGGCCCAUUGUUUAUUAUGUUAGGAUGCUAGAUGUCUGUGUGACUCUUGCAUGUGUAUGUAUUGGUAUGUAUGCCGAGCGGGGCUCGAUGCCGGGCAAAACCCGAUGGUUGUAUUGUAUGUUAUUAUCUUUGUGAUUAUUGCCUGUGUUGGUAGGAUUAUGUGUUUGUAUGUUGGCGGGGCCCGUUAUAUGAGUGUGGACGGGGCCCAUUAUGUGAGUGUGGGCGGAGCUCGUAUCUCAGUGUGCGGGGCCCGAUAUGUGAGUGUAGGCGGGGCCCGUAUCUCAAUGGGCAGGGCCCGAUAUGUGAGUCUGGGCGGGGCAUGUAUCUCAGUGGGCGGGGCCCAAUAUGCGAAUGUGGGCAGGGCCCGUAUCU